rnacentral:tRNA from 1 species
AAUCAAUGAACUUGUAUAAGUUUAUAUUUUGAAAAUAUAAAAAAGAGGAAUAAUCCUCUAUUGAUUU